CGGGGUCUGCAACUCGACCCCGUGAAGUCGGAGUCGCUAGUAAUCGCAGAUCAGCAACGCUGCGGUGAAUACGUUCCCGGGCCUUGUACACACCGCCCGUCACGUCAUGAAAGUCGGUAACACCCGAAGCCAGUGGCCUAACCGUCGGGAGGGAGCUGUCGAAGGUGGGAUCGGCGAUUGGGACGAAGUCGUAACAAGGUAGCCGUACCGGAAGGUGCGGCUGGAUCACCUCCUUUCUAAGGAGCACCACGAAAACGCCCCAACUGGUGGGGCGUAGGCCGUGAGGGGUUCA
rnacentral:rRNA from 1 species